rnacentral:rRNA from 1 species
AUUGAACGCUGGCGGAAUGCUUUACACAUGCAAGUCGAGCGGCAGCGCGGGGGCAACCCUGGCGGCGAGCGGCGAACGGGUGAGUAACAUAUCGGAACGUACCCAGUCGUGGGGGAUAACUAUCCGAAAGGAUAGCUAAUACCGCAUACGUCCUGAGGGAGAAAGCGGGGGAUCGCAAGACCUCGCGCGAUUGGAGCGGCCGAUAUCGGAUUAGCUAGUUGGUGGGGUAAAGGCUCACCAAGGCGACGAUCCGUAGCGGGGUCUGAGAGGACGACCCGCCACACUGGAACUGAGACACGGUCCAGACUCCUACGGGAGGCAGCAGUGGGGAAUUUUGGACAAUGGGGGCAACCCUGAUCCAGCCAUUCCGCGUGAGUGAAGAAGGCCUCGGUUGU